GGGGGUGACUGGUUUCGACUUGGGACGGUAGUCCCAGGGGAAGCGGGCCGAGGAUCCAGGGACAUCUCGUUAACGACUCCUGGAAACUAAUAACUGCCGAAUCCAAUCGCGCAGACUUCGCUCUCGCUGCCUGAUACAGCGAUCGAAGGGUCAGCCCGGGCGUAGCCUUCCGCCCGGUUCCUGGCCUCAUUCAGAAGGCUUGCUGAUCAGCUGACGCCUUAGCGGCUGAUCGGGACUUUUCUAGGGCUGGGCUCGUCCACCACUUGCUGGUGUAGAGGGUGGGAGCCGAGUAGAACGCCACCGCCAGCUGCGCCCGGAGAAGACCUGGUUCGCCUCUUGAGGACGCGGGUUCGAUUCCCGCCACCUCCACC
rnacentral:tmRNA from 1 species